rnacentral:lncRNA from 1 species
GGAGGCAUCAUCGACAGGCGCCGCCACGGUGCACGCCUUCAUCUCGAAGCGGUAGGACUAGGUAUCAUUGACCUCGGCGGCGAGGGGGGCGGAGUUGCUAAAGCCCUUGGCGGCUUGGGCCCCGCUAGUCGCGCUGCUGAAGCCACACGCACCAGCGCCUGGCACUGUCGCUUCUUCACCUACUUCAGCCCGGCGCGCAUCCACUUGCACUCCAUCCGCACCACCGCGUCAAUCUUCGCUCUAUGUGGUCACAACUCCAACAGUAGUGCAUCUCCCACCGCCAUAGCCGAGGCCACGAACCACCCACUCAUUGACGUCAUUGCCGACUCCACCAAUCGGCUCAUCGGUGCAGCCACCACAACCAACUGCAUCAUCCCUGGGAUCGGCAGCAGCGCCGCGGACACCACUAACCCCACUGCUGUUGUUGCAUGA